AUGGCUGAUGGCAACGAGGAUCUGCGGGCGGACGACUUGCUGGCACCAGCCUACAAGCUACAUGGAGCUCGCCUGCCCCAUGAGAGCAAUGGCCACGUAGCCGUGGGCAUCAGGCGCCACAUGUUCCUCUGGGGUGGCUACAAGAGUAAUCAAAUCAGAGGAUUAUAUGACUUUUAUCUGCCUAGAGAAGAACUAUGGAUCUACAAUAUGGAGCCUGGAAGACGGAAAAAAGUUAACAUGGAAGGAGAUGUUCCUCCUUCCAUGUCAGGAAGCUGUGCUGUGUGUGUAGACAGGGUGCUGUACUUGUUCGGAGGACACCAUUCAAGAGGCAAUACCAAUAAGUUCUACAUGCUGGAUUCAAGGUCUACUGACAGAGUAUUACAGUGGGAAAGGAUUGAUUGCCAAGGAAUUCCUCCAUCAUCAAAGGACAAACUUGGUGUCUGGGUAUAUAAAAACAAGUUAAUAUUUUUUGGAGGUUAUGGAUAUUUACCUGAAGAUAAAGUAUUGGGAACUUUUGAAUUUGAUGAAACAUCUUUUUGGAAUUCAAGCCACCCAAAAGGAUGGAAUGAUCAUGUACAUAUUUUAGACACUGAAACAUUUAUCUGGAGUCAGCCUAUCACUACUGAUGCUAGAAUGAAUGAUUUUCACUAUCUUAAUCUGGACCAAUGGGAGUGGAACGAAUUAAUUGCACAAGGCAUAUCCCCAGUUGGCCAAUCUUGGUACUCACUAACACCAGUUUCUUCAGAUCAUCUCUUUCUCUUUGGAGGAUUUACCACUGAUAAACAGCCACUGAGUGAUGCCUGGACUUACUGCAUCAGUAAAAAUGAAUGGAUACAGUUUAAUCAUCCCUAUACUGAAAAACCAAAAUUAUGGCAUACAGCUUGUGCCAGUGACAAAAGAGAAGUAAUUGUGUUUGGUGGGUGCGCCAAUAACUUUCUUGUCCAUCGCAGAGCUGCACACAGUAAUGAAAUACUUAUAUUUUCAGUUCAACCAAAAUCUCUUGUAAGGCUAAGCUUAGAAGCAGUCGUUUGCUUUAAAGAAAUGUUAGCCAACUCGUGGAACUGCCUUUCAAAACACUUACUUCACAGUAUUAAUCAGAGGUUUGAUAGUAACAACACUUCAGGAUCUUAAGGCUUCAUAGAUAAUGCCUCUGAUCACCUUGCAUGGACAGCAAUUCUGUAAACAUCAGAG